rfam:Gossypium hirsutum cultivar TM-1 chromosome 2, whole genome shotgun sequence
AGUUCAUAGUGAGGAAACCUUUUCAACAAAUCCUUAAACCUUUCACGUGUAUCAUAAAGUGUUCAAAUAUGCAACUGAACAAAAGAAGACAUGUCAUUCCUCAAUUU